AUACUUACCUGGACGGGGUCGACGACUGAUCAAGAAGAGUCGUGGCCUAGGCUAGUGGUCCACAUUGCACUUGGUGGAUGCGCUGGCUUACCAUCUCCUCAAAUGGGAGAGUGGACGUCAUAAUUUGUGAUAGAGGGGGUACGCGUCCGCGCGGCCCCUGC
rnacentral:snRNA from 1 species